rnacentral:rRNA from 1 species
AGUGAACGCUGGCGGUAGGCCUAACACAUGCAAGUCGAACGGCAGCACAGUAAGAGCUUGCUCUUACGGGUGGUGAGUGGCGGACGGGUGAGGAAUACAUCGGAAUCUACUUUUUCGUGGGGGAUAACGUAGGGAAACUUACGCUAAUACCGCAUACGACCUACGGGUGAAAGCAGGGGAUCUUCGGACCUUGCGCGAUUGAAUGAGCCGAUGUCGGAUUAGCUAGUUGGCGGGGUAAAGGCCCACCAAAGCGACGAUCCGUAGCUGGUCUGAGAGGAUGAUCAGCCACACUGGAACUGAGACACGGUCCAGACUCCUACGGGAGGCAGCAGUGGGGAAUAUUGGACAAUGGGCGCAAGCCUGAUCCAGCCAUACCGCGUGGGUGAAGAAGGCCUUCGGGUUGUAAAGCCCUUUUGUUGGGAAAGAAAAGCAGCAGGUUAAUACCCCGCUGUUCUGACGGUACCCAAAGAAUAAGCACCGGCUAACUUCGUG